GUGCAGAUUGGGCGAUGAAGAUGAUGAUGGGGAAGAUCUCAGCCCUCUGCAGCCGCCGCACACAGUCCAGACCCAGAGGCAGCACACAGUGGAUCCCCUGCAAGCAGCAGUUUGGAUCAACAGGACAAAUAUCAUGUGCUACAAAUUUCUGUACAAUGAGGCUUUUCAGGUCUGAGGUGGAUGUUUAGAUUCACCAGUGUGGCUCAAAUCAAGGUUCCCGUAGAGACAGGCAGCUGCUGAUCUUUGAAGGGUCGUGGGGAAAUCUCGCGAAUCUCGAUGGUAACAUUGACAUCAUCUCCUGUUACUGACCUGAAUGAACCCAUCUGGUAAUCAGCAGAGGAACGUGGGGCGAUCAUGUCAUCUUGAAGUCUAAACAAGAACUUUCAUUUUCAUUUGGCUACCAUGACCUGGAUGACUGAGAAUUUUUGACUAAAAGAUGUAUGUUGUUUGUUCCAUACUGCAAAAACAGCAUCAUCUUACAUGUUGAAUAAAAAUCUGUCUUCCUUUUUGUCUAAAUAGAUUAUUUAUGCUUUCUAAUAGAGAUCCAUUAGAAAUUUAGUCUUAAGAUACAAGAACCGUAUUUGUAAAACAUCUGCAUAAAGGUUACAGAAGCUUUGGUAGAUUGCUUGAACCUUGUAUCAAAAAUUGUUUGCACUACACU